UCCAGACCUGCAGCACAUAUAUUAAUUAGGAAUGAUACAGAGAAUGUUAGAUGACCUCUGGGCAAGGAUGACAAAAAGAUUUGUGAAGAGUUCCAUAUUUUU
ensembl:snRNA LOC120099418 U6 spliceosomal RNA